AACGCUAGCUACAGGCUUAACACAUGCAAGUCGAGGGGCGGCACGGGAGUAGCAAUACAACUGGUGGCGACCGGCGCACGGGUGAGUAACGCGUAUGCAACCUACCUAUCAGAGGGGAAUAACCCGGCGAAAGUCGGACUAAUACCGCAUAAAACAGGGACACCGCAUGGUGAUAUUUGUUAAAGAGUUUCGCUGAUAGAUGGGCAUGCGUUCCAUUAGGUAGUUGGUGAGGUAACGGCUCACCAAGCCGACGAUGGAUAGGGGAACUGAGAGGUUGGUCCCCCACACUGGUACUGAGACACGGACCAGACUCCUACGGGAGGCAGCAGUGAGGAAUAUUGGUCAAUGGGCGAGAGCCUGAACCAGCCAAGUCGCGCGAAGGAAGAAGGAUCUAUGGUUCGUAAACUUCUUUUGCAGGGGAAUAAAGUGCAGGACGUGUCCUGUUUUGUAUGUACCCUGAGAAUAAGGAUCGGCUAACUCCGUGCCAGCAGCCGCGGUAAUACGGAGGAUCCGAGCGUUAUCCGGAUUUAUUGGGUUUAAAGGGUGCGUAGGUGGUUUGAUAAGUCAGCGGUGAAAGUUUGCAGCUUAACUGUAAAAAUGCCGUUGAAACUGUCGGACUUGAGUGUAAAUGAGGUAGGCGGAAUGCGUGGUGUAGCGGUGAAAUGCAUAGAUAUCACGAAGAACUCCGAUUG
rnacentral:rRNA from 1 species